AAAAACAUGGCUCUAACUGCAGGUAAGUUGGAGAUUGAAACAGAGAUCAAAGCAGUUGCUGAUGAGUUCUUUAAAAUCUUCAGGAGCCAAGCACACCACCUGCCUAAUAUCUGUUCCGAUAAAAUACACAAAAUCUAGGUACAUGAAGGUGACUGGGAGACUCAGGGAUCCGUCAAGCAUUGGAUGUUCAAAUUGAUGAAUGGUAGUUUUUCAUUCAUACUUUCUUUCGUUCAUAUACAGAGUAUAUAUAGAGGGUAAUCACCAUUCUAAGAAUGAGAAAGGAUGAUACAAGGAAAGAAUAAUAUAAGGAAAUAACAACUAAUAUCCUAAUAUCUCAACUUUCCUAAUAUCUCAAUAUUCCUAAUAUCUUAAUAUUCAUAAUAUCUUAACUUUCCUAAUAUCUAAACACUAAAUGAUAUAAGGAAAUAAUGAUAUAAGGAAAACAUUCCUAAUAUCUCAACACUCCCCCUCAAGUUGGUGCAUAGAUGUCACACAUGUCCAACUUGUCUAAAAUUUUUUGAGAAUACUUGACUUGAGACAGCUUUGGUGAGGAUAUCGACUAACCAAUCUUACUUUCCACCUUGGAUCAACUAAGGCUUCUUGCACAUUGUUAGGAAUAACUACAGUAAAUAAUUGAUUUACAAAUGACUUAUUUGAUUCAGACAAACGAUGGUUAGACACAUAGUUGCUCAUGGGAUAUUUGACUUUGGUAGACAAAUCAGGUUCAUAUGUGGGUUUAGGAAUACCAAGAUUAUGACGAUGUGGUAACCGUUUCAUGAAUGGAUCGGGUUCCAAAUUAAGAACACCCUCAACAGACGACGAUUGGUUUGAUAUUUCAGUGAAGACAUCUUCAGACCCAAAUUGUUGACCUCUCAUAUCCAACUCACCCACUUCCUGGUUCACUAGUUCAGAUUGUCCAGAUUCAUUCUCCUUAGAGAUAUGAUAAUCAUAAUCAAGAGUCUGAAUUUCCUUAUGGUACUCCCCCUGAAGUUCAGACUCAGAUGAAAAUUACAUCGAAUCUUCAUGAAACACCACAUCCAUUGUAAUAUACAUUUGUCGAGUUGGAGGAUGGUAACAUCGAUAUCCCUUUUUGUGCAAUGCAUAUCCAACAAACACACAUUGCAAUGCAUGGGAAGUUAACUUAGUGCGUUGGUGCUUGUGUAGAUGCACAAAUGCCACGCAACCAAAAACACGAGGAGGUAGAUUUGGGACGGUUGGGGCAACUACGACAUUAGUAAGAGCUUGGAGAGGUGUUUGAAAGUUAAUUGAGCUAGAAGGUACCCGAUUGAUCAAGUAUACGGCAGAUGUGAUUGCUUCUCCCCAAUAAGAUAUCGGUGUUUUUGCUGCUAUCAAGGAAGCACGAAAAACCUCUAACAAGUGCCGAUUUUUUCGUUCAACGACUCCAUUUUGCUGGGGUGUAUUGGAACAAGUAGUUUGAUGAAUGAUGCCAUGUCCUUCCAAAUACUUUUGAAGAUCAGAACUUUGAUAUUCUCCACCAUUAUCACUACGCAGAACCCGAACCUUUGCAUUGUAUUGAGUUUCAAUCAUUUUAUGAAAUUUUUGAAACAACAAGUUCACUUCAUCUUUGGUCUUCAUCAAGUAUAACCAUGUCAUUCUGGUACAAUCAUCAAUAAAAGUAACAAACCAACGCGAACCACUCAAAGUUGGGACUUUGGAUGGGCCCCAAACAUCAGAAUGUAUAAUCAUAAAAGGAGACGGACUUUUAUUCAAAAUUAAUGGAAAGGAAGCACGAUGGCUUUUAGCCAAUUCACAAAUAUCACAACGGAAACCAGAAAUAUCACUCUUUGCAAACAAACUAGGAAAUAAUUUUUUUAAAUAUCCAAAGGAAGCAUGUCCCAAACGUCGAUGCCACAACCAAAUUUCAGACUUUUUCUUCUCUUCCUCAGAUCCAUCUGCCAUCAAGGCUUGUCGCAACUUAUUUGAAUCAUUUGACUGCAAGUCCAAAUAAUAGAGUUUUCCCCGCUUAAUACCAAAACCAAUCGUCUGUCUUGUUUGGAUGUCCUUAAAAACACAAAAUUCAGGCCAAAAAAUGACAAUACAAGAUAAGACUGCAGUGAUUUGAGAAACUGACAAAAGAUUGUAAUUUAAGGAUGGAACAACUAAAAUAGAAUCCAAAUUCAAAGUAUCAGUAAGAGUUAAGGAUCCUUCCCCAAUGACUGGGGUUGUGUUACCAUUGGCUGUGGAAACAAAUUUUUGUGAGGAAGGUCUAACGGGUGAGACUUGUCUAGAAUCAAAAGUCAUAUGAUCUGUAGCACCAGAAUCAAUUAUCCAUGCAUUAUUAAUAACAGGUGUAGAAGUAUUUAAAAACUUACCACCAUAAUCUGUAGCGGCUAUCAAUGCAGAGGCUUUCUCAUCAACAUUAGCCUCUGUUUUUAUUUCGGCAAUAGCUGCAGUCGAGGUUUUCUUGGAAUUCUUCUUCUGUUGAUCACGAUUGUGAUCCCACCAGUCUGGAUAUCCCACAAUUUCAAAGCAACGACUCUUGGUAUGACCAGUCUUAUUGUAGUGAGUGCAUUUGAAGGUUGACUUAUCAAUAUUAUGGUCUGUCUUAGGAUGAUUGGUCUUGGAUUGGUCCUGCCAAUUUCGGGUUAAUUGUUGUCGGACUACCAUAGCUGAGGUGUCAGGGUUGUCAGAUUCUGCUUUCAUACUAGCAUGACGUAAUGCCUCUCGUUGAAUCAGUGCAUAGCAUUCUUCCAAAUAGGGAAGAGGAUCUUUGCGUAGAAUCUCUCCUCAAACUUGCUCAAAGUCACCACCCAAUCCAGCAAGAAAGAUGUGCACCCGUUGUCGUUCAAUGGAUUUCCGGUAUGCUGCAAUGUCUUCAGGGUCUUUCAUGACUACCUUCUCCCGAUGAUCCAAUUCGCAAAAAAGUUCAAUUAACUCUCCAUAAUAUUCAGAAAGAGACCUGCCGUUUUAUUUGGCAGUGAAGACUUUUUGAUUCAAAGUGAAAACUUGUAAUUCAUCACUUUCAUCAUAGAAGGCCUUUGAUAAUGCACUCAAAAUUUCUUGAGCGGUGGGUAAGCGUAAGUAAUGCUUCAUAAUUUCUGGACUCAUGGACAUUAACAACCAUCUCUUCACCUUUUGAUUCUCAGCAUACCAUUUUUCAUAUCCAUCUUCUGACUCUUUUGGUAGAUUUGUCUUACCUCGGAUGUAGGAAAGUUUUUCCCGUUCGGCAAUAUGCAUCUCCACGAGUUGUGACCAAACGUCAUAGUUUGAUUUAGUCAAAAUAAUUCCUGAAUUGAAAGUACCUUCAGAUUGAAAAACAAUAAUACUUUUUUCACUCAUUUUUUUUUUCUCUCGCAAAGAAGGGGCAAUUGUUGGCCUUACAACAAAAUAUCCAGGAUUUCAGGAACCUAGCUCUGAUACCAUGUUCAAAUUGAUGAAUGAUAGUUUUUCAUUCAUACUUUCUUUCGUUCAUGUACAGAGUAUAUAUAGAGGGUAAUCACCAUUCUAAGAAUGGGAAAGGAUGAUACAAGGAAAGAAUAAUAUAAGGAAAUAACAACUAAUAUCCUAAUAUCUCAACUUUCCUAAUAUCUCAAUAUUCCUAAUAUUUCAAUAUUCAUAAUAUCUUAACUUUCCUAAUAUCUAAACACUAAAUGAUAUAAGGAAAUAAUGAUAUAAGGAAAGCAUUCCUAAUAUCUCAACAUUGGAGUUACACCAUUGGUAUAACAUGCAACUCAAACUCAGAACUCCAAAACACUAGCUGGCAUUAUAUUCUGCUAAAAUAUUUUUUGAUGUUUAUCUUUCAUUUCAUUGUUGUUUUCUUCACCUCUCAAAUUUUCUUUUAUAAUAAAUGCAUGCCUCUUUGUACUUUUUUUUUUCUUGCAAAGAAGUGACUAUAAUCGAUGGUUCUUAGUAAUGUAUAUGGCAUCUAAUAAUAGCUUUAACAUAUUCCAAUUAUGUUUAACCUCACAUUUUGGUUUGAACUAGGAGGGAAUUCUAAGAGUAUUAAGGAGACUGUGGAAUCAAAAGAUGAAGAGAACAGGUCCAUCACGUUCAAGGUUUUGGAUGGGGAGCUGUUGAACGACUACAAGAGCUACAAGUUCACCACACAAGCGAUACCAAAGGGGGAGGGCUGCUUGGUGAAAUGGACCGCUGAAUAUGAGAAGGCAAGUGAGGAUGGAUCAGAUCCCCGUGGCUACCUGGAGCUUGCAGUUAAUAUCACCAAAGAUAUCGAAAGUCACCUUCUCAAUGCAUAACGCCAAGACCAUAUGUACCGUUUGCUAGUAUUUCUCUCUUAAAUAAAGUUUGGAACUUGGAUGUGCAUCUAUGUACUAUCUCGACCUUUUAAUAAACGCAAAUUCCAGCUGUACUGGAGUUGGUGACUAAUGCCGAGAAGACAAACUAGGUUCCCGAUCCUCAGUUAUUUAUGCAAUAAUAUUAAUUAGUGCAUGCGUGUGAUUAGUUGUAUGGUUCUGGGAGUUGCUUUGUGAUUGUUAAUCGGUGUCUUUUGUAGUGGGAUUAUUACAUGCAUGUAAUGUGAAGAACAUAUGAUCCAUGAGGAAAUAAAUUAAAUGAAAAUUACCCAGGCUCCAUCAUGAGGAGCCUUUGAGCAUGCCCACAAGCCUACGUUCCUGCAUUCAAGUCACAUAUGUGAAAAUUCCACUUUGCACAUAAUCUAAAUAAUUUAUCUAAAAAUCUAAGAAGUAAUCUCUCUCUCCAUCUAUGUCUCUCUCUCCCCAUCUAUAUGUACCUCAAAUGAAGAGGUAAGGUAAUGUAAAAUCCCCACCUCAAAUUUAGGGAUAUUUAUAUAAUUUGAAAAUUUUAAAAAGACCUACAUUAAUUUUGUAAAUAUUUAUGUAAUCAACUUUCUCAGAUUAAUUAAAUAAAAAAUUGACCAAGAUGAUUAAAAAUGCAAAUUUGAUGAGGACAUGAAGUAAAAAGUGGUAGGGUUUAAGGACAAUGGCUUCUACUGAAUUUUGGUGAGGUGGUGAUACAAUGAGGAAAAUAGAUUAAUAAAGUUUAUCCAUGGAAAUAGAAAAUAGAAAACAAAAAAUAUAAAAUAAUAAUAAUAUUCAUGUUAAUCAUUUAAUAAAUAUAAUAAAUGCAAUUAUAUAUGCUAAGUGAAAAUAACAAUAUUAUUAUUAUUAUUAUUAAUGCUUAUGAUAGGUGAGAAUUAAGUCUUUUAGAAAUUUGAGUAAUUUUUUCAAGGUAAAGCUUAUAGUUCAUUAAGUCAUUUUAUAAUUCCUUAUAUAUUUUUUUAUUGAUUUUUAAAGUAUCAAAAUGUGUAAAUUCUUUAAAGUGGAUCAAAUAGUUUUUUUUUUUUUUGAAAUAUUUUGUGAUUUGUUUGGUUGUUAUGAAAGUGAAUUUUAUUACUUAAUUUAUUAUAAUGAUUUUAAAACUCUAGUUAUUAGUGGUUUUAGUCAACAAGGAUAAGUUAUUAACCUUCUUUACCUUUGGUCAGUGAAGGGAUGUAGUAUAACACUAGCCAAUAAAUGUGUCAUUGGUCUUGUAUACUAUUGAUUAGAAAUUGUUAUGUCCACCAAUGAGAGUAUUAAAGUGAGGUGAGCCACCUAAUGUAAGUCCCAAUAUUUGGGCACAACGUUAUUAUUAAUUAAUAAACAAAAAUAAAUAGUUUAUUUAUAAAAAUUUUUUUCUAAAUAUAAAUUGAGUAUGCAAAUUGUAUUUUUUAAUUCUAUCUUUAAAUUUAAAGUGUUUAAUCUUUUGAAGAAAGUGAAUUUAAUUUUUUGAAGAAAGUGAAUUUAAUUUUUGAAUUAAAUAAAUUAACCUGAUAAUUGAUUUUUAUAAAAAUUUGAUAUCUCUUAGAAUUUAAUUCUCUACAAUAUAUACCUGAUUUUUUUCAUUGAACUAUUUUUUCUUAUUGAACCAUUGAAGUCACCCUUCUUUAUUAUUCCCCUUUUCAUAUACAAAUGGUAUAAGUGAGAAGGGAUUACGGGAGGAGAAAUGUUUCUAUUAUAAACAACUUUGGAAUUGAAUUAUGUUGGAUUGUGAAACGUGAAUCGGUUUAAUUUAUUGUAUUUUGCAAGGAAUGCUAGAGGUCGAGUGUCUAAUUGAGCUUGCGGGGAUCAAGAGUCUUGAUCGGUUCGUUGGGACUUGGGAUUGAGUUGUCCAAUCAGCUCAUGGGGUUAAAGGAAUAUCCUUCGAUUUUUUUUAAUACGAUGAAUAACGAGUUUGUCCUAAUUGUAUAUUUAAUCUUAUUAUAAUUUAAAGUUUCUUUUUAGAGAGUGUGUGACUGCAAUCGAAAGGAUAAUGAGUGUUUAGUACUCGUCUUAUUUUUUUCUGAACCAAAUUAAAAAUCUAUUGUUUUUCUUUAUUUUCUAAUCGUGUGUGCAUGAUUUGAUCAACAAAUUAUUUAUAGGAUUGUUUACUUAAAUUUGAUUGUAAUUUAUUUAAGUUUUUAGGAGAAUCAUUAAAUUUAUUAUUACAAUAUUUUAUUAGUUUUGAAUUUGUUAUUUAAAGUGAUUCAUUUACUUGGUUCAAAGGUUUGACAUAUAAAGUCACCGUGGUUCCCUUGGUGUCGCGGGUGAUUUUGUAAGUGCCUUCGGACUACAGAAUAUUAAUUAACCUACCAAUCUUCAAUGUAAUCUAAGAUGCAGAAAGAUCUUGUGGGUUAAGGUCAAGUGGGCGCUUCAAUAUUUAUCAUGUCUUCAAAAAAAACUUCAGGGCCCCAGUCCAGAUUCUCAGAUAUGGAUUCUAACAGUUGCUACCAAUCACGGGGGUGAAAACAAAUCAGUGUCGCAGAAAUCGCUAUCAAUGUGGUACUGGAAAAAAAAGAAGAGAUUCCUCCACUUGUUCUUGAAAUUUAUCUGAACGCAUGCAAUAAAUCAAUGCUCCAUAAUCUCCUGCACAUGCAAAUUAAAAUCAAAAUCAGGCCAUUGGCCUCUCACAUUACCAUUCUUGGCCGUUUUCUGGUGUGCAUAUAAAGAGUAAUAACCACACCAUCCAUCUUUUACUCUGGUUGUCACACUCCCACCACUCUCCCACCACUUCUUCCCUAAUCUCCUAACAUCAAAUACAAAAAUGCCACAUCCUUAUUAUUGAAAAUUAAAUUCCCAUACAUAUAAAUCUUAUGCCAGAUUUUUUGUUGAUUGGAUGAUAUUCGGCCAUAUAAAAUUCAGUAUCAAUCACAAACAUUCGUUAUCCAAUCUUGAUACCGAAGAGGAUAGAGUAUCAAUCCAUCUAUGGGCCCGGUGCACCAGGCCUUCCGCCUAUAAAAGUUUUCUAGGGUGGUGAACUAUAUUCUUCAAACACAGCCUUGGCUAGUUACUAUCUGGUUUCCAAAGAAAGAAGAAAUGGCUCAGAUAGAUAAGAUGGAAACCCAUGUAGAGAAAAAGUCCCCUGCCAAUGAGUUCUACGAGGUCUUCAGCAGCAAAGCUCAUCUCAUUCCCAAGGCCUGCCCUGACAAAAUCAAGAGCAUCGAAGUGGUUGAAGGUGAUUGGAAGAGUGUGGGCUCUGUCAAGCUCUGGACUUACUGUAUCGGUAAGGCAACGCUAACCAUUAUUCCCAUGCCACCCUCAAUCAAACAAAAUAAUACACUCAGCACAUGGACCUUCUUGUUUUUAAUUAUUAUUGCUGUGGAAGAUAAUAAUAACAAAACAAAGGGAAUGACCCCUUCUGAUACGGGUGCCUCCUCAUAUUAGUUUUUUGAAGUUCUCCAUGCAAACUAAAGUAGAAAUCAAUCUUUAGGCACAUCCCUUAUCUGAGCUUCACAUGACCUUAGUUUCAUUUUAAAUUAACCUGCAGGAGGAAAUACUUCGUCUAGCAAGGAGAGGGUGGAAAAGAAAGACGAUAAGAACAAGUCCAUCACUUUCAAGGCUCUGGAUGGAGAGGUCAUGAAGGAUUUCAAGAGCGUCAUCUCCAUCCUUGAAGUGAGUGCAAAGGAUGACGGCAGCCUGGUGAAAUGGACUUUGGAAUAUGAGAAGUCAAAUGAGAAACUCCUACCUCCAGAUGCUUACCUCAGCCUUGUAAUUAGUAUGAGUAAAGAAAUCGACGCUUACCUUCUCAAGGCAUAAGCCGCAUAACAAGCCCUAUAUCCUUGACUUGAUAUGAAAGCAUCCUAGCCUGGGUCCUCCUGGGAAUAACGGAGUUGCUAUGCGUACCUCCAUAUUAUAUUAUCGACACCUACUGGCUACUGCUGUACUCCAUGUAACUUCUUGCUGUACUUAAUUAUAUGAGCUUCCUGAAUUAAUGUUGGAAUGAUAAAUCAAGCUUUAUGGUAGAAUCAAAUGAUUGCUCUAUCAUGGAAUAAAUUUCGCAAUAAAAAUAAAUAUUAGAGGAGAGUUAUGAAACGAAGCUUUUUUUUCUGCAUCAAAUUAACUUUUCAUACACUGUUUUUAAAACAAAUCAACAUACAAUGAUCUUAUGUUGUACCUUUUCCGUUGCAGAUUGCUUUUAAAAAUGUUCUCCCCACAGGCACUUCUAUGGUAUCUUUUCAAAAUUGCUAUUAUAUAUGUUUAAUUAACCAUUCAUUUUGGUCUAAAGCUAGGACGAACUUCUAAGACUGCCACGGAGACUCUGGAAAUCAACAGAUGAAGAAAAAAAUAAAAUAUAUCCAUGACUUCCAAGGUUUUGGAAGCAGAGGUCAUGAAUCAUUUCAAGAAGAUUCAAGUCAUCCAUGCAAGUAACAGCAAAGGAUAAGCGCAGCUAGGUGAAAUGGAGACUGGAUAUUGAGGGUCACUAUCUCAGAUUCUCAAGGCAUAGCAUUAAAAACAUAUCCUUUAAUUGGUAGUAUAAUCUCAAACUUGUAUGUAAAGACCAGACCGUGGAAGUGCAUAUAUGCAUUUUAUUCUUCAAUAAGCGCAGGCUUAGGGGGUAGUUCAAUAACCUCUGGGCUUAGUCAAUCCCGAGAAGAUAUUAAUAAAUUUCCCUGGAUUAUUCCUCUCAUGAAUAUCAGUGCCUGUAAUUUGGUUGUGUGCUAACGGGAGUUGCCUCUUGCGAUCGGUUGGGUUCUUUAAUAAACGCAUUAUUAGGUAUGAAUGAUCAGGAAAUUGAUAAGUAAAAAACAAUUUAAUUAUUUCACUUAAGUCAUAAACCAUUAUGAGGAGCCUUGGAAUAUAUGCAUGAGUCUAGAUUCUCGCAGCCACUAAUCACGUAGUCAAAAUUGGCCAGUCGCAAACAUUCCAAUCAUUCUUUAUGAUAAGAAAGAAGAGUUCACUCUUCUUUUUCUCGAGUUUUUUAUUUGGAGAGAGCAAUUUAUCAGCCUCACAUUUUGAGACCUUUCUUGGCACAUCACUUUCAGAAUCUGAUUUCCUAGCUCCACUAUAGAAGUAAAGCCAGUUGGGUAUCACAUUCUUGUUUUAUGUCUCCUUGAGUGGGUCGGGUGUAUAUAAAAAUUUGCCAGUUGAAGAUUUUCUUUGUUAUGCUAGUCUUUCUUUUUCUAACCUCCUGAUAUCAAAUGGGAAAAUGCCAUAUCGUUACUGGACAAUUGACCCAUAAUGGAGAGACUUUUGUUGGUUGGACUUGGGCUUUUAUAUAACUCAGCAACUAUCAUAAUUAUAGGAGAAAUUUGAAGUAACCAUAUUGAUUUGGGUCUACCAAGAAGCAAGGUGAAUCGUAACAUAUCAUGCAUAUAACUUGAUUCAAUUAUUUUAUAUUCUACUUGUUUCUUAUGUAUUUUUACUUUUAUCAAAUAGUUUAGAUAUCAUUACCAAAUAUUCUCCUGACAUUUUCCUAUUAUUUCUGUAAGAUGCUAUAAUCUACACCCAAAGUAGUGGACCACUUACACUUUAUUAUGUACUAACCACGAUCAUAACUUACAUUCUCCACCUUGGCCUCUCUCUUAUCCCAAAAAGUAAAGACUCAGGGUUCGUAUCCCUUCCCUUCUGUCUAUAUAGGUCUAAGAGUAGUCAAGUGUUUCCUUCAAUAGCCUUCAUAUUCUUGGCAGUAACUAGGUACUUGGUUUUCAAACACAACAAAAAUAAUGGCUCAAAUUGCCAAGAUGGAGGUCCAAGCAGAGAUCAAGUCCCCUGCCAGUAAGUUCCACGAGGUCUGUAGCCGUAAAGUUUAUCUCGUACCCAAGGCUUGCCCUGAAAAAAUUAAGAGCAUUGAAGUAGUUGAAGGUGACUGGAAGACUGUGGGCUCUGUCCAGCUUUGGACUUAUUUCAUCGGUAAGGCAAAAUCCAUCAUUCCACGCCUCCCCCAACAAACACAAGGACACAGAGCUCAAUUGUACUUCUAUUAUUAUUACUAUUAUUAGGAAAUAAUGAUAAUCUAAUGGUAAUGUGACUCUACUCAUGCCGAUAUAAACCCCGUAAUCUUGAUCUCAAAUUGCUAUCAAACAAAAGAAUAUCAAAUAAAGGUAAAGUGUGUCCCCUAUAUUUAUACGUAGAUAGAUGAGUUCUAAGCUUAGCACCAUGUUUUCCAUUUGAAAAACAGGAGGAAAUACCGAAGAGGCUAAGUUGGUGGUUGAAAGGGUAGACGAGGAAAACAAAACGGUCACUAUGAACGUUGUGGAAGGAGAUAUCGUGAAGUAUUUCAAGAUCUUCAAGUGCACUAUUCAAGUAACCGUAAAGGAUAAGGGCAGCUUGGUGACAUGGAGUGUGGAAUAUGAGAAGCUAAAUGAGAGUGGCCCCGCUCCAGAUGCUUACCUCAACUUUGCAAUGGGUAUCGUUGAGAACGUGGAUGCUUACCUUCUCAAGGCAUGACAACAAAGGCGUAUUCAUGAGUCAUGACAUGGUAUGAAGCACUGGUACAACAAAAACUUGGGAAUAAUGUACCACACGCCAUGUCCUCAACUUCUACUGGUCAUCGCUAUAAUAUUAAAAGUAACUUCUUAUUCUACUUAUAUACCUUCCAAGUACUUUGUGUCUUGAAUGUUAUUAUCUAAAAAUAAAAAUAGAAAAUCUCGAAGAAGAGCAUUGUCCUUCGACACUUUUCUUUCUUUCUUUCUUUCUUCACUGCUGAGAAUCUCAACGUACGACUACCAUUUGCAUUAUGGACCCAUGACUGCCAUCCUUUGACCACAUUUGUUGCCCUCCCACCAAACUCCUACGCGUCAAAAUUUCUAUUGUUGCUUGAACAAUAUUUUCAUUUGAAAAACAAGGAAACGAUUUAAAAAUUCUUAUCUCAUGUCUAGUUACCCCGGUCGACCAUAUAAAGUACCACUUGAUCACUCUAGUCUCCUUUGCUAGCCCAUGGGCAAUGCAAUACCCAGCAGGUCCCAGUAACCAACUCUAUGUUCCUCCGAAAAUGAAACAAAUCAGGUCGUUUCAGGGAUGCAUUUGAUCUCACCCUUUUGUUUUGUGUCCGUUAUUUUUUAUUUUAAUAUCACAUGUUUAUAUUUUAAUCUCAUUCUUUACACCUGGAUUUGCUGAUAAAGGCAACUUUCUUUUUGAGCUUUGAUCGAGAUUUUUAUGAAAUUCCUGUGAUAUUACCGUCCUGCUCCUGCUUAAGAAUGUAACUUUGAUUUUGCUUUUAGUGAAGUCUUUAGGUGUUGUUUAUUCCCCAAAAUCUUUUGAUGUUUCUGAAAUUGCUUCAGUGGACUUUGAGAGGUUGCAGGUACCUCUUUUCUCCUGAAAUAGAAUUUGUUUCAGUGGAGCAAGACAACAGGAUGAGCAAAAAAUAGAACCAAUUUUAUUGAUAUAUAUCAGGUUUUUGAGACGUUGAAGAACAUUUCUAACAACUUUUUUUGAUGGGUGACCAAGCCUAUUAUGCCACAAUGCAUAUACAGAACAAGAAGAAAAAGAAGCAGGUGUUGGAACUACAGAAGAAUUGUAUACUAAGGGUUGUGUUGACAUACUGACAUAUGACUUAUGAGGAGUUGAGGGAGAGAAGCUGCCACUGAUUAUUAAUGAGAUCAAUUUGAGACUGAUAAAAAACAUAAAGACCAUCUUUAGGCCUACCCCUCCAGUAGCACUGUUUUGAAGUGAAAUUCAAAGAAGACAUUCUUUUGGGCAAAUUUUGACACACUGAGAAGGUUCUAAUUAGCAAUUUCAGGGACAUGAAGUGUUUUAAAGAGUAAUUUCAGCAAACAUAACUUCAACUUUACAUCCACCUGACCUCAUUAUUUCAGUUUGACAAGAGGGCUUAAUUAUAUCAGUAUGACUGCUAAGAAGACUUUGGAAUAUUAUAAAACGAGUCCAUCAAGUUCAAGGUUUGGAAUGGAAAGAUCAUGAGUAAUUUCACUACUUUUAAGCUGAAUAUGAGAAGGUAAAUGAGGAUGUCCCAGACCCAAUGCUUACUAAAUCAUUGAAGGUCACCUUCUUGAGGCAUAAUUCCAAUUCUUUUCAUCGAUGCUUCUUAGAUGUUAUAAAACAAUACUAUGAAAAUGAAAACGUAAUGUAAUUUUGUCAAAGCCUUUUCCUUAUUGAAGACUCUGGACUGAUUGCGUGGGUGCGCAACACCCACCAUAAUUCCCACACCAACGCCCAACUAACCAAAUCACGUAAGGCCUCACAUGGCCUCAUUAUUAUUUCUGUUGAAAGAUAAUACUAUAUUACAUACGAGAUGGCCAUUCUACCAGCCACCUGUAAAGUUGGUGAUAAAUUGAUACUAAAAAUAGAAGGAAAAUUAAGUUGAAAUUAAGGGUGUCUAUUUAAAUUUAAUUAUUCCCUAGAUAUGAUCUUUUGAUAUGAUUUGAACCCGUUAAUCAUUUAUUUUUAUAUAAAGAGACAAAAAUUCAAUUGUAUAAUCCAGGAUGAGUCACUUGGCCGGGUUUUCGACGACAGCUAAAUCAACCUUCAUUUAGUAAUGAUUGCCCAUGAAAUAAAUUAUCAUGUCUCCUCACAAUAUAAUAAACUAAUAAAAAAUAAAAGAAGAUCACAAAGAAAAGCAUCUUAGUGGAAGUUUUUUUUUUUUUUUUUUUCUUUCAUUUGUUGGUGGUGACACUCCGUGAAAUGUGAUCAACUAGCAUUUGAAUUACACAACCUAAUGCAAAUGAUAAAAAGCAUAAAUUACUUUAGAGUGUUUAGAAUUUGGAAGACUCUAGCUAGGAUGAUAUGGCAUGGGUCUGUGGCCGACAACCACCAAACCCAACGCUAAAUAAUUAUUAUUGAACCAUCAUCAUCAGUAUAAGCAACAUCAAACCUCUCCAUGUUAAACUGUACAUUUUAUUUCAUCCGGAUCUAAUAUCUAAUUAUAAAUGAUUAUGUAUGAGAUUGCAAUCCUUUGCUUAACUCUUUGAAAAUCUAAUUAUAAAUAUUUGGAAUAUCGAUUUCAUCUCUACCAUUAAAAGCAUAUGAAAAAAAUAUCUUGGUCUUUGAAUAAAAGUAAGUAUAAAUAAUUAGACUAGGGUACCAAAUGAUGAAAUCAAAUAUAAAUGAAUUAUAACCAUCAAAUUUCUAUUUUUCAUUAUUAAAUCAUUGGGCGCUCCAAUUUUUACAUGAUGUAUAACUAUUGACGGAAAUGUUAAUUAGGGAUGGCAACGGGGCUGGUUUUUUCGGGUACCCGCCCCCCCCUCCCCCCCCCCCGCCCCUAAUGGGACGGGGUUGAAAUUUAAUAAACGGGUUUUUAACGGGUAUGAGAUUUUUUUUUAAAACCAGGGGCGGGUUCGGGACGGGUUCGGGACGAGUUCGGGUAUUGCCCCAUUCCGCCCCGCCCCGCCCUGUUUACAUAUAAAAUCAAUUUUAAAAUUAAUUUUAUUUUACUAUUUUUAAUAUAUAGAUAAUAAUAAAAAAAUUAAUAAAAUAAGUUAUAAAAAAUAUAAUAAUUUUAUUAUUUAUAAAUAUAUUUAUUUUAAUGUAAUUAAAAAUUUUAAAAGUAAAUUUUUUUUUUUAUAAAAAAAAGGAGGCUAAACGGGGCGGGACGGGGAUGAGAAUUAUUUUUAAUAAACGGGGCGGGGUUGGGAUGGGGGCAACCCGUCCCGAACCCGCCCUGUUGUCAUUCCUAAUGUUAAUAUAAGGAUAUAAUAAUGGGUAAAAUUAGUUGAAAGUGUUUUUUUUAUGACAUAAAAUAAUUUUUCAAAUUUUAAUUUCUAUUUACUUUGUCUUCCCUUGUCAUGUAUCUUUGUAAUUUUCCGAUUUGUUUAUCAAAACAAUAAAUGAUGUCAUGUUAUGAUUUCUCUUUUUGUCUUCCUUUUUAAUUGACGUGUUUAUUGGAAUAAUAUAUUAUGUUAGACAAAAUAACACAUACCUCCACUGCCCAAAUCCCCUCCGUGACAAUGAACCCCAUCUUUAAGCAUUAUUAUAAAAUUAAGCAUAAAGUUAUUACAAGUUUCUUCCAUUUCACAUGCCUUUCCCAUAGAUUGAGUGGUGGAGAUGAUCAUUCUUGAACGAUUUAUAAUUUUAAUGAAUUCUGUCUAUUCUCAUAUCUUUUAAGAGGGAAUUCAAAUCAACUUAUCUUAUUUUCUCAACGCUACUUAACUUCCACGGCUUCAAAUUUACAUGAUCAUAUCAUUAUCAAUAACUUCGGCAUAACUAUUCAAAUUUUAAUAAGAACUUCAAAUCAUUGUUACCUUUAUUGCCUUAAAAAUCUUUUUCUUUGUCAAUGAUCCCUGCACGAUUAUUAAAUAAUAGGAUUGUUAUUGUCAUAUUAACUAAUUUUGAUAAUAUAGUCAUCGUCACGGCUGAGUGCCGUUUUCUUGGGAGAUUUUUCAUAAAUUUAAAUCAAUACCAGUUAUAGGAAAUGCGUCACAAAUUAGGAAGAUAUCGAGCUGGAAGCAGAUGAUAUAUAAUUCAUUAUUUUCUUCCUUAUUGAAGCUUGACAAACCAAUCCAAAUGCAUUAACGUGAGAAGCAAGGUUUUAUGCUCAUUUUCAAUGAACCUUGUCAACAUGCACGUCAAAAACAAUGAUUUAUUAACUACGUACAUGUAGAACUGCAUGGGAAAAAAAAAAUACAAUUAAGGCAUUGGGAUAUGAAUAAAACGCUUAACUUAAAAUUCAAAAUUCUCAAAACUACGUUUUUCACACCAAAAUGUUUCAUCCAGCCAACCUAAGACCGAGUGAAUCCUCCCUCUAAAGCACAUUGCCCAAGACUACAGGCAACGUAGUAAUUACCUAAGCAAAUACGUCAGAAUCAUACCAAUUUUUACCAAAGUGGGUAUCGGGAAGGAGCUUUGCCUAAUUCAUCCUUCUAUAUAUAAGGACAAGGUUAUCUACUUCUUCUCAUCACUGCCUUCUGUUUGAAUAUUUUGUAGUUAGUUUUAUCAAUCCAGCUAGUGUUAUUAUCAGAAAAACAUGGCUCUAACUGGUAAGUUGGAGACUGAAACAGAGAUCAAAGCACCUGCUGAUAAGUUCUUUAAAAUCUUCAGGAGCCAAGCACACCACCUUCCUAAUAUCUGCUCCGAUAAAAUACACAAAAUCGAGGUACAUGAAGGUGACUGGGAGACUCAGGGCUCCGUCAAGCAUUGGAGUUUGACCGUUGGUAAGGCAUCUCAAACUAAGAACCACAAAACACUAGCGUUAUAUUCUGUUAAUUAAAAUAAGUUAUUAUGUUUUUGUUUCAUUUCAUUGUUGUUUUCUUCACCUUUCAAUUAUUCUAUUAGAAUAAAAGCAUGCCUCUUUGUACAAUUUUUUUCUUGCAAAGAAGUGAUCGAGUCUGGGCCGCUAGUGACUAUGAUGGUUCUUAGGAAUGUACAUGACAUCUAAUAAUAGCUUCAACAUAUUCCAAUUAUGUUUAACCUCACAUUUUGGUUUCAACUAGGAGAGAAUUCUGAGAGUAUUAAAGAGACUGUGGAUCAAAUAGAUGAAGAAAACAGGUCCAUCACAUUCAAGGUUUUGGAUGGGGAGGUGCUGAAAGACUACAAGAGCUACAAGUUCACCACACAAGCGAUACCAAAGGGGGAGGGCUGCUUGGUGAUAUGGACCAUCGAAUAUGAGAAGGCAAGUGAGGGUGGCCCAGAUCCCCAUAACUGCCUAGAGUUUUCAGUUAAUAUCACCAAAGAUAUCGAAAGUCACCUUCUCAAUGCGUAACACCAAGGCCAUAUCCACCCUUUGCUAGUAUCUUGCUCGUAAAUAAAGUUUGGAACUUGGAAGUCCAUCUAUCUCUAUCUUUCAAUAAACGCAAAUUCCAGGUGUGGACUUGGUGAUUAGUGCCGAGAAGAUAAACUAGGUUUGCCUUGGUUAUUUGUGCAAUAAUAUUAGUGCAUGAGUGGGAUUGAUUGUAUGCUAUCUUGUCCGGGAGUUGCUUUGUGUCUUUUGUAAUGGGAUUACUACAUGUAAUGUGAAGACUAUAUGAUGCAUGGGGAAAUAAAUUAAGCGAAAACUUCCAUGGGCUCCAUCAUGAGGAGCCUUUGAGUAAGUCCACAAGCCUACAUUCUUGCAUUCUAGUCACAUGUGUCAAAAUAAGUCUCUACAAAUUAAAGUCUUAUUGUCAAAAUCCCACUUUACACAUAAUCUAAAUAAUUUAGCUAAAAUCUAAUAAGUAUGUCUCUCUUUAUAUGUACUUACCAUCCCAACUUUUAAAUUUAGGGAUAUCUAUGUAAUUUAGAUUUUAAAAAGAAAAUUUUAGGGAUAUUUACAAAGAUAAAUGAAAUAUUUUUGGUUCCGAUAACCAUUAUUUUUAUCUCAUUUUGGUUUCUUUGCGUUAUAAAAAAAAUGGUUUGUAGAGAUAAACUAGAGAAAAAAAAAAAUUAUACAAUGGUUUGUAGAGAAAUUUGAUUCGAAAAGUUAGAAAAGAUGAUUUGUUUUUUGCAUUUGCUUCAUUCUAAAAUUCAAUCACUAUCUUUUAUCUCAUUUUGGUUUCCCCACAUUAUCAAAAAAUGAAGGAUAAAAAUAAACUGGGGAAAAAAUUAUACAAAGGUCUCCGAGAACUUUGAUUUGAAGAGUUAGAAAAGAAGAAUUUUUUUGCAUUUGUUUCAUUUUAAAAUUCAAGGUUUUUGGAUUUCUAUUAUAUAUUAAUUAUGAGGAUAGUAGAAUAAUAAUAAUAAUAAACAAAAACUAGUUAUUAGUGACCUUGAUCAAUAGAGUAUAAGUUGUUGACCUUUAUUAUCUUUGUUAGAAGUAGUUAACGAUGCAAUGUAACCUUAGCCAAUAAAGAUGUUUUGAUAUACAUUGAUUGAAAAAUGUCCUUUUAAAACUAGUUAUUAUUGACCUUGGUCAACACAGAGGAUAAGUUGUUGACCUUUAUUACCCUUGUUAGGAGUAGUGAACGGUGUAGUAUAACCUUAGUCAUUAAGGAUGUUAUUAGCCUUUUGCUAUAUCAUUGAUUGAAAGUUGUCCUAUCCACCAAUAAGGAGAAUGAAGGCUAGCCACCAAGUACUAGUUUUAGUAUUUUGGCACAAUAUUAUUACUAGUGAGUCAAAGUGAAAUAUUUGUUGAUAAAACUUUUUUAAUAUGAAUUGAGUAAGCAAAAUAUAUUAUUUAAUUCUAUCAUUAAAUUGGAAGUGUUUAAAUUUUCAAAAACAAUUAUUUUAAUUAUUGAAUCAAAUGAGCUUACAUGUUAAUAGACUUUUAUAAAGAUGUGGUAUCUUCCGAAAUUUUAUUAUAUAUAAUAAUUGAUCUUCCUUAUACUAACUUUUAUCAUUGAGCCAUCGAGUUCACUUUUCUCUGUUAUUCUCCAUUUCAAUUAUAAAUGAUAUAAAGAGGGAUGAGGUAAGAAAAAUAUUUCUAUUAGAGACAGCUUUGGAAUUGAUUUAUUUUAGGAUUAUUUACUAGACUGAAUUCAUUUAUAAUUUCUAAAUUUCUUUUUGAAGAAUUUGAGAAAAUUAAAUUAAUUAUUGAGAGAUUUUAAUUAGUUUUAAAUUUGUUACUUAAAGUCGUUCACAUGUUGGAUUCUAAUAUUUGAUACGUGAAACUAGCAUGAAGGGCUUGACCUCCGGGUUUGGGGCGUCGCAGCUGACUUUAGAUUACAGAAUUAUUAAUCAACCUACCAAUCUUCAAAGCAAUCUAGGAUGCAAUAUGGUUUUGUGAUUUAAGAUCAAGUGGACGCUUCAUUUAUUAUGUCUUCAAAAAAACAUUUUGGGCCUCAAUUCGAGAUUAUCAGAUAUGGAUUCUAACAGUUGCUUCCAAUCAAAUCAGUGUCACAGAAAUCGCUACCAUUGUGGUACCUGAAAAAAAAAAAAAGAGACUCCUUCCCUUAAUAUUGAAAUUUAUCUGAAGCUAUGCAGUAAAUAAAUGCCCCAUUUUGUGCGUCAUAAUGGGGGAUCACAUUCAGAAUCUUCUGCACAUGCAAAUUAAAAUCAAAAUCAAGCCAUUGGCCUAUCACAUUACCAUUUUUGGCCCUUUUGUUUUGUUGUUUUUUUCUUUUUUUGGCGUGUAUAUAAAAAGCAACCACAUUAUCCAACUUUUAUUGAAAACACCAUAUUAUCAGAUACAAAAACGCCACAUCAUUAUUAUUGAAAAUUAAAUUCCCAUAUAUAGAAAGCCACAUAAAAUUCAGUGCCAAUCACAAACAUUCGUUGAUAUUCACUAGGAUAGAGAUAGAGUGCCCAUAUAUGGACAGUGCACCAUACCCGCCGUGAAGUGAUUGGAAGAGUGUGGACUAUGUCAAGCUCCGGACUUAUUUGUAUAGGUAAGGCAACGCUAACCAUUAUUAUUCCCAUGCCACCCUCAAUCAAGCACAGUCAUACACUCGGCACAUGGCACUUCUUGUUUUUAAUUAUUAUCAUAGUGAACAAUGUUUUCAUAAUCGGAUCGAUCAUCGAACCGAAAAAGUUAUCGAUUUACAGUCCAUUAGUCGAACCGACGGUCGAACCAAUAACAUCAUAAAUAUGUAAUUUAUAUAUUAUUAAAAUUAAAAAUAAUUAUACAAAUUUUAAAAUAUAUAUGAAUAAAUUAAAAAUCAAUAAUAUUAUUUUGUAUCUUUAAUAUUAUCAAAUUAAAUCAUAUUAAUAUUUUAAAUUUUAUUGAAUGAAAUAUAUAUAAUAUUUAAAUAUGAAUAUAUUAAAAAUGAAAAUUUAAUUAAACUAAUUUUAUAAUUUUUAAAAAUAUUAUAUUAUUUUUAUUUAAUAUUAUAAAAAAAUUUAAAAUCCAAUAUAUAUUAUUUUGUUUGGCAUAUUAAAUAAUAAAAGAUGUAUAGCCGAGUGGUCCUAGGUUGGUUAUAGACCUUGAGGUCCAAGUUCAAAUCCUUUGGUGGAUUUGUUAAUUUUUUUUUUCAUUGAUUAGGUUAGUUAGCAAUCCCACACUAAGAGGAAUAAGGAUGCUUAUAAAAGCUAGCCUCAUUAUGGGCAAAGGCAUCACCUCAUCUGGUGGGCUUAAGACUCAGCCCAUAAAAUGGUUGGGUGCGGUGUGGGCUUUGUCACAUUAAGACAGGGCCCAUCAUGGGCUUUUGCUAAAUUUUUUUAUACAAGGGAGCCUUCCAUGCUUGCAAAAUGGUGGGAUAACUUGAACCGAUCGAUUCGCUCAAAACCGUCUGAUUUCGUUGGGUUAUCGAUUCAAUCAUCGAUUUAGGUGAUUUGUGACCGGUCCAAUGCUUAGACGGUUUAAUAAAGUAAAUCUAAUAAAAAAUGUGAUGGAUCGACGAUUGAACCAGUUGGAUCAGUCGGUCCCACCCGAUUUUUAAAACAUUAGAUAAUAACAAAUUAAAAGAAGGGUGUCUCCUCAUAUGAGUUUUUUUGAAGUUCUCUACUCUUGGAGUGACUGAAAGGAUAACUGCAGCCUGGUGAGAUGGACUUUGGAAUAUGAGAAGUCAAAUCAGAGGCUCCUUCCUCCAGAUGCUUACCUCAGCCUUGUAAGCAUGAGUAAAGAUAUGGAUGGUUUACCUUCUCAAGGCAUAAACCGCAUAACAGCAAGGCCUAUAUCCUUGACUUGGUCUGAAAGCAUCCUAGCUUGGGUCCUUCUGGGAAUGGGAUUGCCACACGUAUGACCUCUGUAUCAUCAGUUUUGGGGCAAAAUAGCCAUUUUAUGUAUAAAAAAAAAUAAGCUUUAGCCCUUUACAAAACUUAUGUUUAAACUAGCUCACAUAGAGUCAUGUCAUCAUUUUUCUUUUAAACUCAAUUAGACUUUAUUUUUUAACUGAAACUUCAAUUACCAAUUGAGAAUUCAUUUUUUAACUAAAACUUCAAUUUACAAUUGAGGUUUUAGUUAACUUUGUUUUAAAUUUAAAUAAAAAAUUAAAUUAUAAAUUAUUAUUGAAAUUUAAAAAAUAUAUUUUAAUAAUAAUAAUUUAUAUAUUUAAACUUAAAUAUCUAAUAUUACUUCAAUAAAGAUAAAUUGACAAAUAUAAUAAUAAAUAAAUAUUUUAUUUAUCAAUAAAUUAAUAAUUUUAAAAUAAUAAAGUUAUAUGAAAUCUAAAUAAGAUAUAAAAUUAUAUAAUUUGUUAAUUUAAGAUAUUUAAUUUUUUGUAUUUUUAAGAUAUUAAUUUAUUUGUAUUUUGACAAAUUUAUCUUUAUUAAAAUAAUAAUAUAUUCUUAAGUUUCAUAUAUAGAUUUUUUUAUUAUUUUAAAGCAUAUAUUUAUAGUUUACGUAAAAAAAUACUAUUAUUUGUACAUACAAUAUAUAUGCCUUGAAGAUACAUUUUGAAAUUAGUUAAUAAAAUUAAUUAGAAAAAAGUCUACUAUAAAAUUUAAUUUUUAAUAGUUUCAUCAAAGUCACAAAAAAUACUCAUUAAAUAUUUAUAUUAUGGAAAAAAAAUGCCCCUCCCUAAUAUUACAUGUGAUAUAACUUAAAUUAAUAAAUUGUAUAAUUUUAUAUUUUAUUUAUAUGUCAUAUAAUUUUAUUAUUUUAAGAUUAUUAAUUAAUUGAUAAAUAAAAUAUUUAUUUAUUAUAUUUAUCAAAUUAUCUUUAUUGAAGCAAUAUUAGAUCUUUAAGUUUAAAUAUAAAAUUUUUUAUUAUUAAAGUAUAAUUUUUUAAUUUCAAUAAUAAUUUAAAAUUUAAUAUUUUUAAUUAAAUUUUAAAGUAAAAAAAUAAAAUAACUGAAGUUUCAAUUGACAUAUCUUAUUUAGAUUUCAUAUAAUAUUAUUAUUUUAAGAUUAUUAAUUUAUUUAUAAAUAAAAUAUUUGUUUGUUAUUAUAUUUAUUAAUUUAUUUUUAUUGAAGUAAUAUUAGAUCUUUAAGUUUAAAUAUAUAAAUUAUUAUUAUUAAAAUAUAUAUUUUUUAUUUCAAUAAUAAUUUAUAAUUUAUUUUUUAAUUAAAUUUUAAAAUAAAAUAAAAAUUUUAACUAAAACCUCAAUUGUCAAUUGAGGCUUUAGUUAAAAAAUAAGUUUCGAUUGACAAAUGAUACUUCAAUUAAAAAAUGAAGUCUUAGUUGGUAAUUGAGACUUCAACUUAAAUUUUAAAAAAAAAAAAUUAUGACAUAACUCCUAUAUGUGAUAAUAAAGGAACUAGUUUAAACAUAAGUUUUAUAAAAGGGUUAAAACUUAUAUUUUUUUCUACAUAAAAAACUAUUUUGCCCUAAAACUCCCGUAUCGUCGACUAGCUACUGCUUUACUCCAUGUAACAUCUUGUCUACUUAAUUAUAUGAACUUCCUGAAUUAAUGCUGGAAUGACAAACCAAGUUUUAUUGAAAAUGGAAACCUUCUUAGAAUCAAACAUUUGCUCGAACAAAUUUCGCAAUAAAAAGAGGAGAGUUGUGAAAAGAAGCAUUUUUCCUGCAGCCAAUUACCUUUUCAUACAUUACUUUAAAACAAAUUAACAAAUAGUGAUCUCAUAUUUUACCUUUUCUGUUGCAGAUUACUUUUAAAAAUAUUCUCUCCACAGGCACUCCUACGGAAUCUUUCUCCAAAUCAAACUGUACAUUUUACUCAAAUUUUAAUAUCUAAUUAUAAAUAAUUAUGGGUGAGAUUGCAAUCCUUUGCUUAGCUCUUUGAAAAUCUAUGAUGAUACUCGGUAUUAAUAUUUUAUUUUAUUAAAGAUAAAAAUAUCAAAAUAAUUUUAGAACUUUUUAGUGGGGAUAAUACUUCCCCAUUAGGCUGCUUACAAGGCAUAAAUUAAUAUUUUUUUAAUUUUAAUAAAAGCAAUUUGGUACAGUUGACUUGAUUGAUAACUAUUUAAGAUAGGAUUUAGACUAAUUUAGAUUAAUUAGAUUGCAUUUACAGUUCCGUUACCUCGAAACAAAGUUGGUGCAACAUUAACCAUGAUUAUGGUGAUAUAUUUUAGUUUUAUAUUUUUUAAGGGGAUAAUUUUUUUUUUUAAUGGUUUGAUGUUAGCUUAUAAGAAAAACCUAAACCAUAAAAGCCGAAUCUUUCCAAUAUUGAUCCAAUUUCUAUCAUUAAAAAUAUAUGAAUAAAACUUUUGAUCCUUAAAUAAAAGUAUACAAACUAUCGUACAAAAUAAUGGAAUCAAAUAUACAAAAUAAGAUUAAGGAAAUGUUUGAUAAAACUUAAUAUUUAUUAUUUAAUAAUUUAAAUUAACUCUAAGUUAAAUUAUAUUUAAGUUGUUGACUUAAAACUUAUUAUUUAAUUUUUAUUUUAAGUAUUAAGGUUAUUUAAAAAAAUUAACUUACAAUUUAUAUUAAAUCAUCAAAUUAAAAUAUUUAUCUUAAUAAAUUAUAACUAAGACAAAUAAGGUUAAAUAACAAUGGAGGUUGUGAAGUCAUAAAAGAGAUCAUAAAUGUAAUUGAGAGAAAAAAAGACAAAAAUAUAAAAUGAAGAUACUGACUUAAAAAUAAAUAAAUUUUUUUAUUUAUUAAGUCUUUUAUUUUAAGUCAUACAAUAAAAUUAUUUUAUCAAACAUAUUUAAUUUAUUUAAUAAUAUAAUUAAAAUAUUAAGUCACUUAAAGUUAUUAAAUUGGUUUACCAAACACGUACUAACGUACAAAUAAAUAAGACUAAAAUAGAAAACAAUGAAACUUAAACACAUAUAUGACAUGGUCUAUUUAAUUGUAUUUUUUUAUAAAUGCCUCUUUAAUACUUCCCAAAUCAUAACAUUAAAUUUCUUAAAUUGAUAUAAAACAUUUUUUUUUUUCUANNNNNNNNNNNNNNNNNNNNNNNNNNNNNNNNNNNNNNNNNNNNNNNNNNNNNNNNNNNNNNNNNNNNNNNNNNNNNNNNNNNNNNNNNNNNNNNNNNNNACAUAUAUGACAUGGUCUAUUUAAUUGUAUUUUUUAUAAAUGCUCUUUAAUACUUCCAAAUCAUAACAUUAAAUUUCUUAAAAUUGAAUUAUAAACAUUUUUUUUUUCUAUGAUUGAAUCAUUUAGCACUCCAAGUUUUACUAUUGGACGAAAUGUUAAGGAUCUAAUAAAUGGGUAACAUUAAUUUGCUGAAAUAGUUUUUCUUAUUACUUAUAAUGGUUUUAAGAAUGUUGAAAAAAAAAUUCAUGGGAAAACAUUUAUCAAACUCAAAUUUUGAUUCCUAUUUACUUUAUCUUUCCUUGUCAUGUCUCUUUCUAAUUUUCCUUUUUUAGCGGUUUGUUUAUUAGAACAGUAUAUCAUGCCUGUGAUUCUCUUUCUAUCACUUCUUUUCAAUUGAUUUGUUUAAUGCAAUAAUAUUUGUUUAAUGCAAUAAUAUAUCAUGUUAGACAAAAUAACACCUACCUACUACCCAAAUCCCCAAUGUGACAAUGAACUCUAUCUUUAAGCAUUAUUAUAAAAUUAAACGUAAAGGAUAUUAUAAGUUUCUUCCAUUCCACGUGCCUUUCCCAUAUAUUGAAAGGUGGAGGUUAUCAUUUUUAAAAGAUCAAUAAUUGUAAUGAAUUUUCCAUUCCACGUGCCUUUCCCAUAGAUUGAAAGGUGGAGGUGAUCAUUUUUAAAAGAUCAAUAAUUUUAAUGAAUUUCAUAUAUUUGCAUAUUUUUUAAGAGGGAAUUCAAAUUAACUCAUCUUAUUUCUCAAUGUUACGUAACUCCUGCCUCAAAUUAAAAUCAUCAUAUCAUUAUGAACAACUUUGAUACAACUAUUCAAUUUUUAAUAUGAAUUCUUUCAUUCUCAAAUCAUUGUUCAAGUUAGCUUUAUUAACUUAAAAAAACUCAUUCUUUGUCACUACUCCCUCUAUGAUUAUUAAAUGAUAAAAUUGUCAUUGUCUUAAAAACUAAUUUUGAUAAUAUAUUCAUCAACAUAUUUACAAAUUUAAAUUAAUACAAGUUGUAAGAAAUGUAUCAUAAAGAAGAUACAAAACUAGAAGUAGAUGAUAAUUAAUUAUUUUUUUUCUUUAUUGAACUUUGACACCCCAUCCAAAUGCAUUAACGAGAAAAAUAGUGUUUUAUGCUUGUUUUCAAUUAAUCUUGUCAAUAUGUACAUGAAAAACAAUGAUUUAUGCUUAUAAAUCUUAUCAAUUCGCUUAUUUGUAUAUGUAAAAUGAAAUUAUUGAAACUACACGUAGAAUUGCAUGAGGAAAAAAAUACAACUACUGCAUUUAUAAAUGAAUAAAAGCUUGGCUUAAAAUUCAAAAUUCUCAAAACUAUGUUUUCCACACCAAAAUAUUUCAUCCAGCCAACCAAACACCGAUUGAAUCCUCCCUCUAAAGCAUAUUGCCCAAGAUUACAGGCAACGUAGUAAUUACCUAGGCAAGUACGUCAGAAUUAUAGCUUCUUUUUUUUUUUUGUUUUUUUUCAGUUCAUUGACUCGGCUCCACCCAACCACUAUCAGUAUCAGUUACUACCAGAGAGGGUACUGGGUACUGGUUACUGGGCAGGAGCUUUUCCAAAUUCACAACCCGUCUUCUUUAUAUAAGGGCAAGUUUAUGUAUUUCCUCUCGCCAUUGCCUUUUGUUCGAAUCAUUUGAAGUUGAUUUUAUUAAUCCAUCAGAAAAACAUGGCUCUAACUGGUAAAUUGGAGAUUGAAACAGAGAUCAAAGCACCUGCUGAUAAGUUCUUUAAAAUCUUCAGGAGCCAAGCACACCACCUUCCUAAUAUCUGCUCCGAUAAAAUACACAAAAUCGAGGUACAUGAAGGUGACUGGGAGACUCAGGGCUCUGUCAAGCAUUGGAGUUACACCAUUGGUAGGAUAUGCAACUCGAACUCAGAACCCCAAAACACUAGCUAGCAUUAUAUUCCGUUAAAAUGUUUUUUGAUUUUUUUUCCCCAUUUCAUUGUUGUUUUCUUCACAUUUUUUUAUUCUUUUAGAAUAAAUGCAUGGCUCUUUGUACAAUUUUUCUUUUUUUCUUGCAAAGAAGUGGUCAAGUCUGGGCCGCCAGUGACUAUGAUCGAUGGUUCUUAGUAAUGUAUAUGGCAUCUAAUAUUAGCUUCAACAUAUUCCAAUUACUAGGAGGGAAUUCUAAGAGCAUUAAGGAGAGUGUGGAAUCAAUAGAUGAAGAGAACAGGUCCAUUACGUUCAAGGUUUCGGAUGGAGAGGUGCUGAACGACUACAAGAGCUACAAGUUCACCACACAAGCAAUACCAAAGGGAGAGGGCUGCUUGGUGAAAUGGACCAUUGAAUAUGAGAAGGCAAGUGAGGAUGGGCCAGAUCCCCAUGACUACCUGGAGUUUGCAGUUACUGUCACCAAAGAUAUCGAAAGUCACCUUCUCAAUGCAUAACACCAAGUCCAUACAUACCGUCUGCUAGUAUCUCUAUUAAAUAAAGUUUGGAACUUGGAAGGGCAUCUACGAUCUCUAUCCUUCAAUAUAUGCGAAGGCUUAGGGGAACUUUUAGCAGCUGUGGCUUGGUGAUUAAUGCUGAGAAGAUAAACUAGGUUUCCCUUAAUUAUUUGUGUAAUAAUGUUAGUGCAUGCGUGUAAUCGGUUGUAUGCUUGUCUGGACUCUAGGGGUUGCUUUGUGAUUGUUAAUUGGUGUCUUUUGUAAUGGGAUUACUACAUGUUAUGUGAAGACUAUAUGAUGUAUAAGGAAAUAAAGUGAAAAUUACCAGGGGCUAACUCCAUCAUGAGGAGCCUCUGAGUAUGUCCACAAGUCUACAUUCUUGCAUUCUAGUCACAUGUGUCAAAAUCAGACCCUAACAAAUUACAGUCUUGAUCAUUGAAGGGGUAAAAUCCCACUUUACAUAUAAUCUAAAUAAUUUAGCUAAAAUCUAAUAAGAAUAUCUCUCUCUACAGGUAUGUAACCUUCCAACCUUGAAUUUAAGGAUAUUUAUAUAAUUUAAAAUUAUAAAAAGAAAAUUUUGGAUAUAGGACAAAUUAAUUUUUUUUUUAAAAAAUAACGAAAGUGAAUGAAAUAUUUUUGGUUCCUAUGACCACCCACUUUUUUUACUUUUUAUUUUUAUCUCAUUUUAGUUUCUCCACGUUAUAAAAAAAUGAAAAGAUAAAAUAGAGAGGAAAAAAGACAACUUGGAUUUGUAGAAGUUUCUUUCUUUCAUGGUGUUUUUCUGUUCUGUUUUUGCCUUUGUUUCAUUCUAAAAGUCACUCACUAUCUUUAUCUCAUUUGGGUUUCCCCGCGUUAUCAAAAAAUGAAAAUAUAAAACAAAGAGGAAAAAAAAACCUAUACAAAGGUCUUUGGAAUUUUGAUUCAAAGACUUAAGAAAAGAAUAAUAAAUUUUUGCAUUUGUUCCGUUCUAAAAUUCAAGGUAAGUUUUUCACAUAUAAUUUUUUUUUAGGAAUUCUAUUAUCUAUUAAUUAUGAGAAUAGUAAAUAUAUAUAAUAAUAAUAAUAAUAAUAAUCAUCAUCAUCAUCAUCAUCAUCGUCAUCAUCAUUAUCAUUUUAAAACUAGUUAUUAGUGAUCCUAAUCAAUCGAGAACAAGUUGAUUUUCAUUACCCUUGGUAAUGGUAGUGAUAAAAUAUAUUUUUAGUUAAUAAGGGUGUAAUUAGCUUUGGGGUUUCAUUGAUUAGAAAUUAUUUCAUCUACUAGUAAAAAAAACAAAGUAAAACUAACCAUCAAGUGCAAAUCAUGAAUUUUUUUAAAUAUGAAUUGAGUAUACAAAGUAUAUUAUUUAAUUAUAUAUUUAAAUUGAAAGAGAUUAAUUUUUCAAAAAUAGUGAAUUUAAUCAUUGAAUCAAAUCAACUUACCUGUUAUAAAGAUGUGAUAUGUUCCAAAAUUUAGUUGUAUACAAUACGUGACCCUUCUUAUUAAACUAUCCUUUAUCAUUGAGCUAUCUAACUUACCUUUCUCAAUUAUUAUCCUUUAAGGUACAUCAAAUAUUGGUAUAAAUGAGAAGAGAUCGAGAUAUGAAAAGUAUUUCAAAUAGAAACAUCUUUAGAAUAGAUUUAUUUUUUAGGAUUGUUUACUUAGAUCAAGUUUAUUUUAAUUUCUAAAAUGUUUUUUUAAGUGUUUGAGAGAAUUAAAGUUAUUAUUUAGAUAUUUUAAUUAGUUUUGGAUUUGUUUGUUAAGGUCAUUCAUACAAAGAUGAUAUCCAUUUCUGUGUUAUAUUUUAUUUUAUUUAUUUAUUUCUUAUUUCAUGUAUUAAGUUUGAUAAAACUGAAGGUGAAAUCAACAUUGAAUUGCUAAAAAUGUCAAUUACUAUUGUUAAUUUAUCACAAUUAUGAUUUUUUAAUUGUAGCACAUAGUAAAAUUAUUAUUAUUAUUAUUAUUAAUAUUUAUACUCUGGUCGAACUUAUCCAUGGCCAAUCCAUCAUGUAGGCCAAUUUUGUCAAACUUAUCCAUGGCCCAUCCAUCAUGUAGGCCAAAUUUUUAUUAGCAUUUUUGGGUCAUAACUCUAGAUGCUGACAUUAAAGCAUUUCUGGCAUAAUAAUUAUUGGAAAAGGAUGUCUCCUCUUUCAUGGAUCACAACCAAUACAGCAAAGAUGAUGAUAGAUAGCAUCCUUAUCACCUCAUGUGUCUUGACCUCUUCUUCAAGCUUGAGUGUCUUGUCCUAUAUUUAACGCAUGUACCAUUGCCUCCAAGAUAUGGUGACAGGAAUUAUAUAGCUACUGACUAGCUAGUCUUCACUCCAAAAAUAUGAUGGCCACUUUUUUGAAAUAUAACUCUUUAUCCUAUUGACUUAAACUCACCACCUCUUUCAGAUCCUCCACAAGGAUCAACUUAUUAAGAGUUUGGUCGAAGUUUGAUCCACUUUUCUAAAUGAGCAAUGUUAAAUUAUUUUAUUCAAACAAAUUUGAUGAUCAAAUAUCUCUUAUUUUCUCAAAUUUAAAUAACAUUCCUUUAUAAAAAUAAUUAUAAAAUUUAUUAUAAUCACUCAUUUUCAAUGGCUCAUUAGUAGAUGUUCAUUGUAUUAAAAUACAUUUAUAUGAUUAAGAAAAACUUAUACAUUUCUAUUUUUUUUUUCUAUGCAUAAUUUAUAAUAUCUCAUAUAGGAUUUAUUGGGUUUAGAAACAUGUAAUAUUUAUAUAAUAGUGAGUGAAUUAUUAUAAAUGGUAUGAAAAUUGAUUUUCAACCCUUUAUGAGAAUUUAUUUAAUACUACAAUAUAUGACUCUAUGUUUGAUUAUGUAAUCCUAUAAGACACGAUGUCCAUUAAGUUCAUUAUAUUAUUUUUAAUUAUGUAAAAAUAUUUUAAAAUUAAAAAAAUUCAUUAAACUUAGUGCAGACGCUAUCUAUAUAAAAGGAAAUAAAUGGUUAUACUUCAUCAUAUUCGUUUCUCAUAUUUGAUAUAUAUCAAUUUCAGCGACUAUUAUUCAACAUUGCCCGAAGCAAUAGGUGCCUCACUUUUACAAAGAAAACUUCCUCUAUUGAUAUUUCUCAAAUAUAAAUUCAUGUCAUGGACUCAUGGUUAACAACCGAUAGAUCCUAAAACAAUUAGAUAUCUCAGAUAUUGAUUGACCAAAUGGACAACCGAUGCUAUAGUAAGAGCUGUUGCUGUUAUCUUUUAAUUUAAAUAUACACAAACGACAAAAUGCUUAACUAAUCCACCACCCAGGCGCCGGGCCACAGAAAUGAAAUACCGCCUACCCCAACAUUUUGGAAUUAAAAAUCUACACCACCCAGAUCUUGCUGUGAUUUGGUAAAUCCCGAGAAAUUGACAACCUUCCUACGCUGGGGAGGCGUGGUUCCAUUCAAUGCCAACAUUUUCGGAUGGGUCCAGAGAGUUGUACAGUGACUUUUAAAUAAAGAAUUGUUUUAAACCUUGACUUUGGGCUCUUUAUCAGGAAUAUGAAAAUAUUGGGCAAUGACUAGAUUCGAGAGCAGGUUGCAUGCAUAGAUAUCGCAUUAAUUUUUAGCAAUCGUUAUGACGAAAGAAAAUCUGCAGAACCAAGCGAAUUUUCCUAGUCAUCAUGAGAGACAUUAGACAAGGUUUUCAAUUCAUAAAAUUGCCUUAUCAUCUGGAAUUAAAUAUUUUCAAGCUAAGGAUGAGGUUCAAUCCGUACGGGGCAAUGAAAAUAUAUGGAUGCCCUAUAGAGUGGUUGAACAUUCUACAGUUUCGUCCCUAUUUAUAGAAGAAGAUGAAAUUUUAAGCAAUUUGCUUCAAUGCAAUUUUAGCAUAUUUCAGCUAGUCAUAGCAACGUCUAAUUUCGUUGAUGUAGAAGAAGCUAACACCAAAGAUUCAUCUAGGUAGAAAGAAGUAUCGAGCAUGUAACUAACCGCAGAACUCACAUCUAGGGACCCUAUUGUAAAUAUAACAGGUGAUGGACAUAAAGAUAGAUAUGAGUAAAAGAGUGGAACAUAAAAUCCAAAUUUCAAAAGUAUGAUAGUUUUUUAGUGUUUCUUUGAAUCUCGUAGGAAUUUAGGUCAUUUUCAAUCUCAUCCAUGAGACAAGGUACAAUAAUUGUUGAAGAAUAAGAGUAUUGUUGGGCAGUUCGGCGAGCUAUAUAUAAAGAGAGAGACUUCUUAACCAUAUAAAUAUUAUCCUCUAUAACUCUAAAUUUUUUUUUCCUUUAUCCAAUAUAAAAUAUCACAAUCACUUUUAUGUAUGCACUCUUUUUAAUCACGUCGCAUAAAAUUACACCAUUUUCAAAGCUAAAUAAACUCCUAUAUAGGGGUCAUAUAUUGACUUCAAUACUCUUUGAAACGACUCACACUUAAUCAUAUAAACUCAUUAUAAUAAUGUAUUUCCUAAUUUCAUGGAAUUUCAAUAAAAUAUUUAUUACUUUCAAAUGGGAAUUAGAGAGGAAUGUUGUCUAGCUAACUCAUAAUUCUUCUUUAUAAGUUCAAAUUAGGUAUUUACUUCUUCCUACCAUUACCUCAUAUUUUGAUUGUUUCUUCGUUAAUAUAUAGUUGGUUAAACUAAUAAACUAGAGGUUAGGAUGGAGAUCAAUUUAGAUUAUGUUUGUUUUGAGUUUAAUAAACCCUUACGACUUUAAAAUGUGUUUAGAUAGUUAAGAGAAACUUAUACAUAUAUAAUAUUAAAAAAAUUUCCUCAUUUAAUGUGAGAUAUUAUAAUCAUCACUCAUGUAGACAUAAUAUAUUUGUUGUAAGUCAGAAGAUUGUAAAACCAAACAAAUUUUUUCAUUGAAAUAUAAUAUUAUUUGUAAUGGUUCACUUUCUCUCAUGGAUCCCAACUCCAUUAGGUUCUUCAUGAAGCUUGUUUCAGUUUAUUAACCACCGAUGUAGCAAAGAUGAUGAUAAGUAGUAUUUUUGUUUCUCAUAUGUUUUCAGACCUCAUCAAGCUUGAGUGCCUUAUCCCAUCUCUAACGCAUGUACCAUUGCCUCCAAAAUAUGUUGCCAGAUUAUACAUAAUAUCAUAAUUAUAGCUACUGAAGUCCAACGACUACCUAGCUAGUCUUCACUCCCAAAAACAUGAUGGUCACUUCUUUGAAAUAUAACUCUUAUCCUAGUGACUCAAACUCACCACCUCAUUGACAUCCGUCAUAAGAAUUUCAGAGACUCUUCAAAGUUUGAUCCACUUUUAUAGAUGAAUAAUGUAAAAUUCUUUUAUUCAAACAAAUUUGAUGAUCAAAUAUCUUUUCUUUCCUAAAAAUUAUAUUUCCUUUUUAUAAAUCUUAUUUUAAUGACCCAAUUACAGUAUGGUAGAUAUUGUUUGUUUCGAGUCCAAUAAACCCUUAUAACUUUAAAAUAUGAUUAAAUAGUUAAGAGAAACUUAUAAAUAUAUAAAUGUGAGGUCAAAUAAAUUUUCAUAUUGAGAUAAAAGAUUAACUUUAAUACUAUUUGUAAUGGUUUACUUUCUUUCAUGUAAACAUCAUCCACUUUAUACUCAAUGAAUCAUUGAAGCUUUAAAACAUAUUUACAUGAUUAAAAGAAACUCGUACAUAUAGUAUUAGAAUUUUUUUUUUCUGACCCAUGAUUUGCAAUAUAUGUAUAAAUACGUUUUAAAGUUAUGAGGAUUUAUUAAGUUCAGAGUAAAUAGUAUUUAUAUUAAAUGGAAUGACAUGUCACAUGCAAAUAAUAUCAAACUCAAUCUCCAAUUUUUAUAUAAGAGUUUGUUUGAUUUUAUAAAAAAUGUUUGUGUGUUUCAUUCUACAAUUCUGUGAGACACAACAUCCAUUUAAUUUAUUAAAGUCUUUUUAACUAUGUAAACAUGUUUUAAGUUGUUAAGAUUGAUUGGGUAAAAACAGAAGAGGUGAUUGUGUGUUUUAUCCUACAAUUCAAUGAGGCAAUGCCUAAUUGAUUCAUUGGGGUACUUUUAAUCGUUAAUGCAUGUUUCAAUGUUGCUAAGAUUGAUUGAGUGAGGAAAAUAUCUACAUAUGAAAGGCAACAGUUAGUUACACUUCAUUAUGUUUUUUUCUAAUAUAUUGAUAUAUGUCAAUUUCAGUAGUUAUUAAUUCAACAUCGCCCAAAGUAACCAAUGCCUCGCUUUUCCAAACAAAACUUUCUCUAUUGAUAUUUCUUAAAUAUAAAAUCAUGUCAUGGUAAGCAUCCGAUGGAUACUAAGACAAUUGGAUAGAUAUCUCAGAUAUUGAAUGGACCAAAUGGGGUAACGGAUGUGGUAGUAUACAAGCGCUGUAUAUCUUUUAAUUUAGAUAUACACACACAACGUAAUGCCUAAUCCAUCCAGCCGGGGGGCCGGCCAGAGAGAUAUAAAAUACCCCCAAUCCCAUCAUUUUGUAUUUUGUAUUGGAAUUAAAAAUCCAAACCCAGAUAUUGCUAUGAUUUGGUAAAUCCCGAGAAAUUGAGAACCCAUCCUGGGGGAGGCAUGGUCCCCCUAUUCAAUGCCAACCCUAUUUUCAAAUGGUGUCUAAAGAGUUGUACAGUUAACGGUGACUUUAAAAUAAAGAAUUGCCUUAAACCUUGAUUUUAGGCCCUUCUUCAAGAAUAUGAAAAUGCAUGUUGGGCAAUGAUUUAGAUUCGAAAGUGGGUUCUGCAGACAUCACAUUUCUGCAGAGCCGAAAAUAUUUACAAGCGUAGGACGAAGCUCAGUUCAGAUGGGCCUCGAAGAUGAAUUUUUAAGCAAUUUGCUUGAUACAUUCAGCAAUUGAUAAUUUAAAAUAAAAAAAAUUAGGAAAUAGAAAGUAAAACAUAUAUGGUUAAAACUUCAAUGCAAUUUUAGCAUAUUUGAACUAGUCAUAGGAGCGUUUAAUUUCUUUGAUGAAGAAGCUGAACACCAAAGAUUCAUCCAGGUAGAAAAAUGUAUUGACCAUCUAAUUGUCUGCAGAACCUACAUCUAAGUACCCCGCUAUAAAUAUAAGAGGCAACUUAGGUGAGGGACAUAUAGACACAUACGAAUGCCAUUGUAGAAUAUAAAAUCCAAAUUUCUCAAAACUAUAAGGUUAUGUUUGAAUCCAAAAAAAUAUUAGAGGAAGUGAAAAUGUUAAGAAAAAUAAUUUUUUAUGAUUAAUUUUAUUAUAAAAAAUAUAAAAAAUAAAUAUAAUUAAAAUUAGUUAGAAUUUUACAUAUUUUUAAAUUAUAUAAUUUGAAUUUAAAUAAAUAUAUAAAAAUAAGUCAUUAAUUUUAGAUCUAUUUCUUUUUUCUUUUUUUAUAUUCUCCCACAAAAUUUCAGUAACCGAACACAACCUAAUAGUUUCCACUGUUUCUUUGAAUUUCUCAACUUCAAAAUCUCUUGUCUAUGAGACCUCAGAGUAAUUAAUUCCUACCUCUUGGUGACUAGGCCAAGCGCAUGGAUAGGCACAUUGACCCACUUGUAAUUGCCUAGGCUAAUAGGCCAAGCUCAUAGCAAUUUUCCUUUUUUAUUUUUUAAUUUCGUCGUAGGACUUGGUCUCCACAAGGCACUAUAACGUAUCCCCUAAUUUCAUUUCAUGGAACUUUAAUAAAAUAUCUAUUGCUUUCAAGUGGGAACUGGAGAGCAACGUUGCCUAGCUAACUCACAAUCCUUCUAUAUAAGUUCAAGCUAGGUAUCUUCUUCCUUCCACCACUGCCCACUGCCUUGUAUUAGGAUAUCGUUUCUUAGUUAAUAUAUAGUUGAUUAAUUUCCAUCUCCAACUACUACUAUUAUUAGAAAAAUAUGGCUCUAACUGGCAAGCUAGAGGUUGAAAUGGAGAUCAAUUCACCUGCGGAUAAAUUCUAUAACAUCUUCAGGAGGCAAGCACACCACAUUCCUAAUAUCUGCUCAGAUAAAGUACACCAAAUUGAUGUACAUGAAGGUGACUGGGAGACUCCAGGCUCCGUCAAGAACUGGGGUUAUACUCUUGGUAAGGCAACCACAACUCAAACCCCAAAACCCUAGCACUAUUAGUCUGUAAAAAAAAAUGAUUUUUUUAGUUUUUCUAUUUCAUUUAAUUGUUUUUUUGUUUGGCAUUUUCCCCUUUAGAAUAUUAAUUUAACUGCAUUAAUUCGGAGUUGAUCCCAUCAUGUGGAAGUUUAUGCUUCUGUUAUGAAUACAGCUUUGUAUGCCUUCCUUAUGUUUAAUUCAACCUAAAGCAUGUAGAAUUGAUGGUCAAAGUCUAUGGGACCCUUUUUUCAUGACCGCCAUGCAUGGGGCUUUCCCAGGUGACUGCCCGCUACUAAAGGGGCCUAAAGUUUAGGUCCCCCGAGUUAGAACUUAGAAGAGGGAUUAUGAAUGAUCAGUGAAGUUGUAAGGUUUUGAUCUUCUUAGAUAUUACCUAGAAAGAGGAUUGACUUUACUUGACUUUUACCAUAUUGAUUUAGAGAUUGGCGAUUGCUUUAAAAGGUUGUGUCAACAGAAGAAAACUUAAAAAAUAUUAAGAAAAAUAAAAAAAAUGAUUUUGUUUUUAUAAAAAAAAUCAAAUAUAAUAAAAACGAGUUGAAAUUUUAUUUAUUUUUAAAUUAACUUUUAUAUAGAAGAAUUAAAAUACGUUAAGUAAAUUUGAAUCAAAAUAUAAAAAUAAUUAAUUUCUUAAUUUUAAAUUUAUUAUUUUUCUUUUAACUUCUUUUUUGUUUUUUCAUUUUCUUUUCUUUUGUAUUUUCUUCAAAUUUUUUUAGAACCAAAUAUAGUCAUUAUGAAAAGAUGGGCCACGAAGUGACUACGCAUGUCAAUUUGCUUGAGAUUUCGCAAUCUAGUAGUUUCAAAAUACUAUGCUUAACCCCUUGUUUUGGUUUGAAAUUACUAGGAGGGACUUCUAUGAGCCUUAAAGAGACUGUGGAAUCAGUAGAUGAUGAAAACAAGUCAAUCACUUUCAAGGUUGUGGAUGGAGAGAUCAUGAACCAUUUCAAGUGCUUCAAGUCCAACUUGCAAGUAAAAGCAAAGGAUGAGGGCAGCUUGGUGAAAUGGAGUCUGGAAUAUGAGAAAGUAAAUAAGGAUGUCCCAAAUCCUGAUGCUUACCUGGAGUUCGCAGUUAAUGUUACUAAAGAUAUUGAAAGCCACUACCUCAAGGCAUGACACCAAGGCCAUGUGGUAUCCUCGGUAGUAUUACUUCAAUAACGCUGGUGUUUGUAAUUUGGUUGAGUUGUAUGCUUUACCAGGAGUGGCCUUGUGAUUGGCUGGUUUCUUUUGUAAAGGCAUUAUCAUAUAUGAUGUAAAUACUGUACCUUAAAUAAAAAGAAAAUCAGCAAAGACCCUCCUUUUUAAUGUGGAUAAUUGCUUUUAAUGUCACCUUUGUUGAUCGGUUUACAAGACAAGAGUUAACAAGUAGUCCCUAUUUAUUAAAUAUAAGAAUUUUCUGUAUCCAUUAAUCAUCAUCAGUAAGCUAAUAAAAUGGCUGAUAUUUUUCUUAAUAAAAACAGCAACAGUUACUGAGUUUAUAUAUAGGACACCAGUUGCAGAUUAGAUUUCUUUGGCUUGAUUGUGAUCUUUCUACAUGUUGGAAAAAUAUUGUCAUUUGGUAUUUAAUAUCAAAUUUUAAAAAUAAUAUUUAAGAUAUGAAGAAAAAAACAUACAAUGAUUCAUAUUUUUAACUUUAAUAUGAUUUAAAGUUCAUCGAGUAACCGUUUUGAAAUCAUUCACCCUUGAUCUUCACUUUCCUAGUCUCCCUUUACACGUUCCUUAGUGGUGAGUAUGAAAAUGAUUCCAUUGAAUUGUAAGAAUGGAAAGAGGGAUAAAAAAUUCUUCUAUUUAUAAGCAUAGAAUGAUUCUUCUUAUCAGUGAACCAUUAACUAAAUACUUUAAACAUAUUAUUAAUUAAUAAUAAUAAUAAUAAUAAUUAUUAUUAGAAAAUAAAUUUCAUAAAUAUUAUAAAUUUAAAAAAGAAUCUAAUUUAAUUCUUAAAAAAUUUAUGCAUGAAAUUUUUAUAUUAUUUUUAAUUGUUUUCUAAGGGUUAUUUUAAGAAAUUAUUAUACAAACAUAUAAAAUAAUUAAAAAUAAAACAAUAGAUAUAAAAAUUAUUUUUAAAAAUAUUAAAAAUAAAUUCAAAAUAUUUUAAGUUGCCAAACAAAUUUUUUAUUCUACAAAAAUCAGAGAUAGUUUUCAAAAUCUCUUUUAAAAAACUAUUUUUCAGAAUUAUUUUAAAAAAUAGUUACCAAACAAGCCCUAAAAGAUUUAUAUAUAUAUAUAUAUAUGAAAUUAAAAAAAUAUCAAAUAAUAAAAAUUCAAACAAUGGUAAGGGUGUCACUAAUGAUCGGUUUGGAUUUAAACUAACAUUUUUUUAUAUUGAGUAAUUUAUUUUUUAUUCUAUAUAUUAGAAAAUUGAAUUUAAAUGUAACUUUUUCAAAUAAAAUAGUUAGAUCACACUUGAUAUAUAGUAAUAAUUUUUUAAAAACUAAUGGUCAUAAUUUAAAAAAAUGAUGAAAAAAAAAUCUCAAAUAUAUUGCAUAUGAAUGUAUAUAUUUAGUUUUAUACAACAUGUUAGACAUAUAUUAGUUAUUAACUUAUUAUAAUCUACUAAAAUAUUAAUUCUAUACGAGGGGAUUAGAUUUCUCAUUGUUGAUUUUAUAACCCUCAUUGUGGGAUUAUAAAAUGUCAUUGCAAUCACUCCCAAUUUAGUCUAUGCAAAUCAAAUAUAGAAAUGCAAUUUAUCUCUGUCACAAUUUGUUACACAAUAAUGAUAAUGGAUAAUAAAUAAAUAAAUAAAUAAAAUUAAAGAACACACAUUUAUGUAUAAAACUUUAGAUGAGAAAAAUCAUGGAUAAGGAAAAUGAAUAUCCAAUAUAUCAAAAGAUUGGUAUAAAAGAUGAGAAAUAUAAACAACUAUGAUAAAAAUAUAAUCAUCAUAACCUUAAAAUUAUGUGAAAGUAAUUAACAAAGUAGGUCCAUACAUAAGGACAAAGAGCCCCCUCAAAGGUAUCAAUGGUGGGGGUGUGGGGUGUGGGAUCGGAUCAAAUUCCAACGUUAUCAAUGGUAGGCUAGGGGAUCGGAUCAAAUAGAAUUUGGAUCGCCAAACCUUAAUACAUUUUAUGCUUUUUCUUAUUGGUUUAGAUUUAUGAUAAUCUCCUCCACCAGCAAAAUAAAGUUAUACCGGAGGAUUUUCUUUGUUUUGGCUGUCACACUUUCACUUCUUUGCUAAUAGCCUAACAUCAAAUGAGAAAAUAGAGACAUUUUAAAAAUGAGAACAAAUUCUCGAGGAUUUAGUUGUCUGCCACUAGACUAUAAAAAAUGCUUUCCUGUUAUUUUACCCCCUAAAAUAAGUUUGAUACAAUGCAUCUAUUUUCUGGCUCCGACAAUGUUUAAGAAUACAUCAACCGACCUCAAACCACAUUAUUUCGGUUUGAAAAGAAGGCUUUAUUAUGUCAGUAUGGCUGCUAAGAAGACUUUUGGAAUAUAAUAAAACAAGUCCAGCGAGUUGAUGGUUUGGAAUCGAGAGAUCAUGAAUGAUUUCCCUACUUUAGAGUCAAUAAUUAAGUGGAAUGUGAGAAGGUGAAUGAGGAUGGCCCGGGAUCCAAUGCUUACUAAACUAUUGAAGAUCACCUUCCUGAGGCAUAAUUCCAUUACUUUUCAUCGACGCUGCGAUGCUAUAAAAGAAUAUUAUAAAAAUGCAAGGGUAAUGAAAUAUUGUACAGCCUUUACCGUAUUGAAGAACGUGGACUGAUUGCUAGGGUACCCAACACCCACCAUAAUUCCCACACCAACUCCCAACCAACCCGAUCACGUAGGGCCUCACAUGGCCUCAUUAUCAUUUAUGUGGAAAGAUAAUGCUAAACUAUAUACGGGAUGGCCAUUCUACCAGCCAACCUGUAAUGAUUUUGAUAAAAGUAUACUAAAAAUAGAAGGAGAAAUUAAGUUAUCAUUUGAUAACGGUUUUUAAAAAUUGUUUUUAAUAUUUUAUAAAAUAAAAUUUUAUUUAGAAAUACAAAAUAUUUUUAACUUAUUUUUAAUAUUUUAUAUGUAUAUAUAUAUAUAUAAAGAGAGAGCGCUUUAUUUUUAAUUAUUUUUCAUAUUUAUAUAAUUAUUUUUUAAAACAAUUUCAAAAAAACAAGUGAAAAUAACUAAAAAAAUAUUCUUUGAGAUAAAGAUCAAAAAACAUAAAAUAGUUUUUUUUAUUAUCAAACAUGUUUUAUGUUUUCUAAUCUGUGUUUUUUUAAUUUGUUUUUUGUUUUCAAAUCUUAAGAUCACUUAAUUUUUUAGGGUUUUUUUUAAGAAAUAAUUAUAUAAAUAUAUAAAAUAAUUAAAAAUAAAAUAUUAGACAUAAAAAUUAUUUUUAAAACAUAUUUAAAAAUAUUAAAAACAAGUUUAAAAUAUUUUAAGUUAUAAAAUAAGCUUUUUUUUUUUUACAAGAAUCAUAAAAUAAUUUUUAAAAACUAUUUUAAAAUAUUAUUUUUGAAAAUAAUUAUCAAACCCCUUAUUUUCUAUUCUCAAAAAAUGUUUUUUAAUUAUCAAAUGUGGUGUCUAUUUAAAUUUAAGAUUUUAAAUUUUAAAUUUAGUUAUUUCCAAGUUAUGAUCUCUUGAUAUUAUUUCAACCUAUUAUUUAUUUAUUUGUUUGUUUUUCACAUAAAUAAACUAAAAUUCAAUUGUAUAACCCAGUAUGAAUCACGUGGGCCCUUAGUGAGGCUGGCUACAACUAAAUCAACGUUCUUUUGAUAAUCGAUUGCCUAUGAAAGAAAUCAUCACGCCUUACACACAAUAGAAUAAAUUAAUAAGAAAGUAAGAAGAUUAGAAAGAAAAGCAUCUUAGAGGAAGGGUUUUUUUUUUUUUAACUUCUUGGUGGUGACACUGGAUGGGCUUUUGAUAAUUGUACGACGAAUUUAAAAUUAAUGUUUUAAAAUACGGUAUUAAAAAAUAUUUUCAAAUUUAUGGUACUUUUUACCACUUUGAAACAUGUUUCUUAAAAAAGCAUAUUUCAUCGUUUUUAUAUUAAUGAUACACAUUCAAAAAAAAAAAAAUUAAAGGUGUCUUUUUGAAAUAUAUUUUUCAUAAUUUUUAUAUCAAUAACACACAUUAAAAAAUUUUGAAUUUAUAUUAAAAGUGUCUCUUCAAAAAACACAUUUUAUAAUUCCAUAAAAUUAAAUUUAUAUUAAAAGUGUCUUUUAAAGAUAUACUUUUUACAAUUUUCAUAUCAGUUAUAUAGUGAAAAAAUUGAAUUUAUAUUAAACAUAUUUCUUUAAAAGACAUUUUCUACAAUUUCAUAAAAUUAAAUUUAUAUUAAAGGUAUCUCUUUCAAUAAUUUUUGUAUCAAUCAUCCAUUGAAAUAAUUGAAUUUAUACUAAAAAUAUCUUUUUAAAAGACACCAUCCAUAAUUUCAUAAAAUUAAAUUUAUAUUGAAAUGUUUCUCUUUAUACUUUUAAUAUAAAUUUAAUUUUUUUAUAGGUGAUUAAUAUAAAAAUUAUGAAAAGUAUUUAUUUAAAAAAUAUUUAUUAUAAAUUCAAUUUUAUAGAAUUAUAAAGACGUCUUCAACGUAAAUUCAAUUAUUUUUUCAAUGUGUAAUUGAUAUGAACAUUAUGAAAAAUGUCCUUCAAAAGACACUUUUAGUAUAAAUUUGAUUUUAUGGUAUUAUUAAAAGUAUAUUUCUUUAAUAUAAAUUCAAUUUUUUAACAUGUAUAACUAAUGAAAAAUUAUAAAAAAAUUAUAUUUUGAAGAGAUAUCUUUAAUAUAAAUUCAAUUUUUUAACAUGUAUAACUAAUGAAAAAUUAUAAAAAAAAUUAUAUUUUGAAGAGAUAUCUUUAAUAUAAAUUCAAUUUUAUAGAAUUAUAAAAGAUAUCUAUUGAAAAAAUACUUUUAACAUGUAUCAUUGAUAUGAAAAAUAUAGAAAAUAUCUUUUCAAAAAACACUUUUUAAAAUGGUAAAAAGUACCAUAAAUUUAUCAAAAGUUUUAUAACUAUCAUAGAAAUUUUUUUCAAAAGUUCCAUUUUUUAAUAAUUAUUUUUUUAAAUAGCCGUACAAGUUAUAUAAAAAAAAACCCGAUACUCCAUAAAAUGUGAUCAAGUAGGAUUUGCAUCAUGCAACCUCAUACAAAUAAUAAAAAGCAUAAAUCACUUGAAACUUGAAAGUGAUUGGAAUUUGGCAGACUCUAGCUAGCUAGGUUGCCAUAAAUGACAUGGGUCAGUGGCCGACACCCACCAAACCCAGCACUUAAUAAUAUAAUUAAUAUACUAUUAUUAUAGAACCAUCGUUUUCAGGAUAGGGAGCAUCAAAUUAACCUCCCCAAGUCAAACUGCACAAUUUGUUUCAUCGAAAUCGAAUAUCUAAUAAUGAAUGAUUAUGGGUGAGAUUGCAAUCCGCCAAUCCUUUGCCUAGCUCUUUGAAAAUCAAUGAUGAUGCUUAGUAUUAAUAUUUUAUUUAUCUUUUUAAUAUGAAAAUAAAAAUAUCAAAAUAAUUUUAAACUUUUUUCGUGGAGAUAAUGCUCCCCAGUUAAGCUGCUUAUAAGGUAUAAAUUAAUAAUAACCUUUUAAUUUUAAUAAAAGCAAUUUGAUACAUAUCACAUCUUAAUUCACUUGAGUAAUAACUAUUUAAGAUUGGAUUUAGGUUAACUUAGAUUAAUUAGAUUGUAUUCAGGUUAAUUAAACCAUAAUCAUAUUAUUAUCAACAAUUUCUCACAACUAUCCUAUUUUUAAUAUGAAUUAUUCCUAGUUCUCAAAUUAUUGUUUAGGUAGUUUUAUUAUCUUAAAAAACAUCUUUUUUUGUCAUUGGUUCUGCAUGGUUAUUAAAUAAGAAAAUUAUAAUUAUCUUAUCAACUAAUUUGAAGACUUUUCACAAAUUCAUACUUUAAAAACCUCUUUCUUUGUCGUGGGUCCCUACAUGGUUAUUAAAUAAUAAAAUUGUAAUAAUUUUAUCAAUUAAUUUGAAGACUUUUCACAAAUUUAUACAAUACUAGUUAUCGGAAAUGUGUCACAAAGAAGAUGCCAAGCUAAAAGCAAAUCAUGAUUCAUUAUUUUUUUUCCCAAUUGGAGCUCGAUGACCCAAUCCGAAUGCAUUAACAUCAAAAUUAGUGUUUUAUACUAUUUUCAAUGAACCUUGUCAACAUGAUCGUGAAAUGAUUUAUGAUUAUUUUCAAUAAACCUUUCAUCGAAACUAUGUGUAGAACUGCAUGAAUAAAUAAGAAAUUUUCAUAGUUACAGAUUUGCAUUAUCUCACUCUAUAUGAUUUUAUAUAGUUUUUUUUUUAAUACUUCUGCAACAUUUCUUUAGAAAAAAUAUUGUAUCAAUAAAUUCAGUAAUUUUCAUCAAUUUCAAUCUUAUAAUUAAAUGAUACUUCUGUCAUGUAUAUCACCAUACGUGUCACACUUCAUUCAAGAUCAGGUUGAUUAGUCAUGUAUACCUGCUCCAUUAAUAAAGUAUUAAGUUUUUAUUUUAUUUUAUUAAAAUAAUAAAUAAAUAAUAUAAUUUUUUUUUAUUAGAGGUAGUUAGGUAUCAUUAAAUGAUUUGUUGUCCUGCCAUGUCCCCAAUUAAUAAUUUUAUACUUUUCAUUUUUUUCAAAGGAUUUAAAAUAUAAAAUAUUAAAGAUAAAAUAUCUGAAAGUACCGCUUCCAUACCCAAUCAAAUUUUAAAUCUAAAUUAUUGACAUGUGAGUGAAAUUUGGACUAUUAAAUAAAAAGUGAAAAAAAAAUAAAAUAAUAAAUAAUUAAAAAUGUUCCUGCAAGGAGAUGUGACUAAGGUUAAAAAAGGAGGGGAUAAGGAGCGGCUAGGAAUAUGUAAACAAAAUUCAAAUAAUUAAAAAACGAAAUGAUAACUUCUCAAUGAAAUUGAAUGUUUCAGUUCUAAAAUCCAAAACAAAAACUAUAGUGAAAGAAAAAUUUGAGAAAAUAUAGCAUGGUCUUCUCUUUAAUGAUUGAUAAAUAUUUAUAUAUAAAUAAAGUUUAUUUUCCAUUAUAAUUUAGAUUAGUCGAGUCUUGUUUUCUACUCAAAUUCAAACUUCACAUUUUGUUAUAAUUUAAUCUAAUAAUAAUUGUUUUCACAAGACAAGCUGAAGUUAUCCAUUAAAAUACAACUUUUAAUUAAUAGUUUAAAAAAUAAGAUAAAUUUGAAAAUAAUUUUAAAAUUUAAUAAGUAUAUAUAUUUUUAAAUAGCAUUUUUUUUUUUAAAUUGCCAAAUCUAUGCUCAGAAAAGAUCCACAAAAGUUGAUCAACAAAAGAUACCGAACAGGAAGUAGAUGAUAAUCCAUUAUUUUCUUCUUUAUUAAAGUUUGACAACCCAAUCUGAAUUCAUUAACGUGAAAAGCAGUGUUGUAUGCUCAUUUUCAAUGAACCUUGUCAACAUGCACGUCAAAAACAAUGAUUUAUUAACUACGUACAUGUAGAAUUCCAUGGGAAAAAAAAAAAUACAAUUAAGGCCUUGGGAGAUGAAUAAAAGCUUAACCUAAAAUUCAAAAUUCUCAAAACCAUGUUUUUUCACACCAAAAUGUUUCAUCCAGCCAACCUAAGACCGAUUGAAUCCUCCCUCUAAAGCACAUUGCCCAAGAUUACAGGCAACGUAGUAAUUACCUAAGCAAGUACGUCAGAAUCAUAGCAAUUUUUACCAAAGUGGGUAUCGGGAAGGAGCUUUGCCUAAUUCAUUCUUCGACAAGGUUAUCUACUUCCUCUCGUCACUGCCUUCUGUUUGAAUCAUUUGUAGUUAGUUUUAUCAAUCCAGCUAGUGUUAUUAUCAGAAAAACAUGGCUCUAACUGCUAAAGUGGAGACUGAAACAGAGAUCAAAGCACCUGCUGAUAAGUUCUUUAAACUCUUCAGGAGCCAAGCACACCACCUUCCUAAUAUCUGCUCCGAUAAAAUACACAAAAUCGAGGUACAUGAAGGUGACUGGGAGACUCAGGGCUCCGUCAAGCAUUGGAGUUACACCAUUGG
rnacentral:lncRNA from 1 species